CCUGCCCACUGAUUAAAUAAAAGGGCCGCGGUAUUUUGUCCGUGCAAAGGUAGCAAAAACAGUAGUUUUUUAAUUGAAGGCAAGAAUGAAUGGUUUGACGAAAUAAUAACUGUCUCAGUAUAAAAAAUACAAUAUAUCUUUUAAGUUUAAAGGCUUUAAUGUAAAUGGAGGACGAGAAGACCCUAUACAGCUUUUUAUAUAAUAUAAAUAUAUAUUUAUGGAUUGUUAGCAUAUAUAUAAAAAUAUAUUGUGUUGGGGUGACAAAAAGAUUAAAAUUACUCUUUAUAAAAGUAUACAUUAAUUUAUGUAUAUUUGAUCCAUUAUUAUUGUUUAUAAGAUAAAGUUUCCUUAAGGAUAACAGCGUAAUUUUUUUUAAGAGUUCAUAACAACAAAAAAGAUUGCGACCUCGAUGUUGGAUUAAGGAAUAUAAUUGGGUGUGAGAAGUUAAAUUAUAGGUCUGUUCGACCUUUGAAUCCUUACGUGAUCUGAGUCUAACCGG
rnacentral:rRNA from 1 species